rnacentral:rRNA from 1 species
CCUACGGGAGGCAGCAGUGAGGAAUAUUGGUCAAUGGACGAGCGUCUGAACCAGCCAAGUAGCGUGAAGUAUGACUGCCCUAUGGGUUGUAAACUUCUUUUAUAUGGGAAUAAAAUGUUCCACGUGUGGGAUUUUGUAUGUACCAUAUGAAUAAGGCUCGGCUAACUCCGUUCCAGCAGCCGCGGUAAGCCGGAGGAGCCGAGCGUUCUCCGGAUUUAUUGGGUUUAAAGGGAGCGUAGGUGGAUUGUUAAGUCAGGUGUGAAAGUUUGCGGCUCAACCGUAAAAUUGCAGUUGAAACUGGCAGUCUUGAGUACAGUAGAGGUGGGCGGAAUGCGUGGUGUAGCGGUGAAAUGAUGAGAUAUCACGAAGAACUCCGAUUGCGAAGGCAGUUCACUGGACUGCAACUGACACUGAGGCUCGAAAGUGUGGGUAUCAAACAGGAUUAGAGACCCUUGUAGUC